UGGGGAAUAUUGGACAAUGGGCGCAAGCCUGAUCCAGCCAUGCCGCGUGAGUGAUGAAGGCCUUAGGGUUGUAAAGCUCUUUCGCGCGCGACGAUAAUGACGGUAGCGCGAGAAGAAGCCCCGGCUAACUUCGUGCCAGCAGCCGCGGUAAUACGAAGGGGGCUAGCGUUGUUCGGAAUCACUGGGCGUAAAGCGCAUGCAGGCGGAUCGUUAAGUCGGGGGUGAAAUCCCGAGGCUCAACCUCGGAACUGCCUUCGAUACUGGCGAUCUUGAGUCCGGGAGAGGUGAGUGGAACUGCGAGUGUAGAGGUGAAAUUCGUAGAUAUUCGGAGGAACACCAGUGGCGAAAGCGGUUUUCUGGACCAAUUCUGACACUCAGAUGCGAAAGCUAAGGUAGCAAACG
rnacentral:rRNA from 1 species